rnacentral:lncRNA from 1 species
CUGCUUAGGAGAGAAGAGCACGCCUUGUGCAAACAUCAAAGCACUGCUUCUAAGAGGGCACAAUUAACAGUGCAUACCUCCUGGGAACAUGUUACCAAAAGUUAGAAGGCCAAAUUCCCUCAGCCUCUAUCCAGCAUCACAAAUAACUUCAUUUGCCUCAAAAUCUUUACAGGUCAGCCAUCUAUCAUGUGUAGAAUAAGCAAACUGAAUUAACAUUGGAAAUAUUAAAAGAAC